AAAAACUCUCUCACACGAAUGAAGUUGCAGCAGCGACAACCUUCAAGUAGUGUAUGUAUCAAUUAGCAUGCAUAUAUAGUUAGUUCUAUCAUCUAUGAAUAUAUAUAUAUAUAUAUAUAUAUAUACUCUAAAUUACUAUAUAUUACGUAAAUGCACAUGCAUGCAUGCAUGCAUUCAAGCACCGAAACACAUUGCGCCUAAUUGUAGUAGAAAGUAUAUAUAUAUAUAUACUAUGCAGAAUAUUAAUUUGUAGAACAGAUGCGAAAGCAAAAGGAUAUAUACGAUGUUCGUUCUUACCUGCUAGGGGAUGGAGAACUUGGUCAGCAGUUUUCAAUGGAGUACUGUCUGCAGCUGCGUACGCGCACAUCAUGAUCGACGACGCAACCAGGAGCCACACCAGAGCUAUCGCCAAAGUCUUCUUCUGCAUCAUCUUUAAUAUAUACUCUGCUCUCAACUGUGAAAUUAUUAAGUGUAGCUAGCUCGGGUAAUUUUCCCUUCUUCUCUUGCAUUCUAUUUAUACACGAAAAUUCACCUAUUUUUUCAAUAUUUUAAAG
rnacentral:lncRNA from 1 species